rnacentral:rRNA from 1 species
GAUGAACGCUGGCGGCGUGCCUAAUACAUGCAAGUCGAACGAAACUUCUUUAUCACCGAGUGCUUGCACUCACCGAUAAAGAGUUGAGUGGCGAACGGGUGAGUAACACGUGGGCAACCUGCCCAAAAGAGGGGGAUAACACUUGGAAACAGGUGCUAAUACCGCAUAACCAUAGUUACCGCAUGGUAACUAUGUAAAAGGUGGCUAUACUACCGCUUUUGGAUGGGCCCGCGGCGCAUUAGCUAGUUGGUAGGGUAAAGGCUUACCAAGGCAAUGAUGCGUAGCCGAAUUGAGAGGUUGAUCGGCCACAUUGGGACUGAGACACGGCCCAAACUCCUACGGAAGGCAGCAGUAGGGAAUCUUCCACAAAGGGCGAAAGCCUGAUGGAGCAACGCCGCGUGGGUGAAGAAGGUCUUCGGAUCGUAAAACCCUGUUGUUAGAGAAGAAAGUGCGUGAGAGUAACUGUUCACGUUUCGACGGUAUCUAACCAGAAAGCCACGGCUAACUACGUG